rnacentral:lncRNA from 1 species
AGAGGUUUAGCUGCUGGUCUGACGGAUUGUUGUUUGCCUUUUGAAAUCACGUAUACAGUACAAUAGUCGGGUGCAGCCUUGUUUACGAUAGUUGGAACAUCAUGAGUCCAAAAUUUUCUGCAAAAAAAGUACAACAUUAUCCACAAUUCAAAGGGACAGUGUGUGUAUAUAUACAUAUAUACAUAUACAUAUAUACAUAUACAUAUAUAUAUAUAUAUAUAUAUAUAUAUAUAUAUAUAUAUAUAUAUAUCUAUAUAUCUAUAAUGAAUGAGCAAGGGGAUAUAAAAACAUCAACCUGGAAAAAGCACUUCUUGAUGAUGCACCAACAACGACGUUGGUGAUAUGAUAGUUGUUUAUAUAGUCUAGAAGUCCCUUAGACACUGAGAUAUCCUCAACAAUAACCUCUUUCACUGCU